rnacentral:rRNA from 1 species
AGCGAACGCUGGCGGCAGGCUUAACACAUGCAAGUCGAACGCCAUCUUCGGAUGGAGUGGCAGACGGGUGAGUAACGCGUGGAAACAUACCUUUUGCUUCGGAAUAUUCCCGGGAAACUGGGAGCAAUACCGAAUACGCCCUGAGGGGGAAAGAUUUAUCGGCAAAAGAUUGGUCCGCGUUAGAUUAGGUAGUUGGUAGGGUAAUGGCCUACCAAGCCUACGAUCUAUAGCUGGUCUGAGAGGAUGAUCAGCCACAUUGGGACUGAGACACGGCCCAAACUCCUACGGGAGGCAGCAGUGGGGAAUAUUGGACAAUGGGCGAAAGCCUGAUCCAGCCGUGCCGCGUGAAUGAUGAAGGCCUUAGGGUUGUAAAAUUCUUUCACCGGGGACGAUAAUGACGGAACCCGGAGAAGAAGCCCCGGCUAACUUCGUGCCAGCAGCCGCAGUAA